rnacentral:rRNA from 1 species
AGGGCACCACCAGGAGUGGAGCCUGCGGCUUAAUUUGACUCAACACGGGAAAACUCACCCGGCCCGGACACUGGAAGGAUUGACAGAUUGAGAGCUCUUUCUUGAUUCAGUGGGUGGUGGUGCAUGGCCGUUCUUAGUUGGUGGAGCGAUUUGUCUGGUUAAUUCCGAUAACGAACGAGACUCUAGCCUACUAAAUAGAUCGUCGGCUUACAAACGCUGAUGAGACUUCUUAGAGGGACAGGCGGCGAUUCAGCCGCACGAAACAGAGCAAUAACAGGUCUGUGAUGCCCUUAGAUGUCCGGGGCCGCACGCGCGCUACACUGAAGUGAUCAGCGUGCAUUUUCAGCCUACUCUGCCAAGAGUGGGAAACCCAAUGAACCUUCUUCGUGAUUGGGAUAGGAGAUUGUAAUUAUUCUCCUUUGAACGAGGAAAUCCCAGUAAGCGCGAGUCAUAAGCUCGCGUUGAUUACGUCCCUGCCCUUUGUACACACCGCCCGUUGUACAACCGAUUGAUGUUUUA